AAAUCUGACCCCACAGACACAGGGGGACAAGCACUGAGCAUUGCUUAGCUCCACUUGAUAGUCUUUCCUAACAACAUUCAUGUAUUGGUUCGCCUUACAUAGUAUUGUUAAUUUCAACUUGUGAUAAUGCUGCCAUUUAGAGAAACUCACUCAAGAACUGCUUGUGAGGUUCCUGUGGGCAGCUUAUGGCUUCUUCCUUGAGGUUUCUUCAGGACUGAACUACAGCUGCUGGUUCGUGCCUGGUGUCUGCCUGCCUAGAGGACUGGUCUGCAGCUGCUGAGUCGUAUUUGGCGUUUGCUAUGAGACUGAACCGCUGCCAAAGGUCAAGCUCACUCCCAAGGAACUAUUGCUGAACAGGCUGUGACUCAGAUCUGGCUGUCUGACAGCUCGUGUGGAAUCCCUCAGAUCAUACCAACAUCACGCAUCCCCAAAAUGAAGGCUCCCUUUUCAGGGUUGACCCCCUCCUAGGAGGCCCUGGGAUGGCUGAGAACAGGAAAUGAAAGUCACUUCCAGCCAGUGGCCAGCAGAGAGCUGAAGCCGUCAACCUAGCAAAUGAUAAGAACUGGAAACUGCCUACAUGGUCAUCUUGGAAACGGAUUCUUCUCCAGUCACAGCGAAUGGUGACACUGGCUCAGUGGCUCUCCUUCACUGAAGCCUAUGCCUGCCUCUGAGGCAGAUCUGAAGCCUGGAUUCCUGGCCAACAAACACCAUGAGACAAUGAAUGGUGCUUUCAGCUAGUAAGUCGUGGCAUGAUUUGUUACACAGCGGAAACUAAUGCAUACACACACGUCGUGGAUGUUAAGGAACUGCUACUCCUAAGUCACCUACUACUUCGUGUUUUCUGAAUAGGAAGCAUCGCACUAUGGCCCAUUAUAAGGCGAAUAGCACAGUUGGUUGUAGGACAUAGACUACUUCUAGAGAGGCUACAUGUAGGGGAAAGUUGCAUCUUAGUGCACAUGGUAGCUGUCAUCAUUAUAAAUGGGCAGAGAAUGUUACUCUUCAUGGAUGACUGGUAGAGAACAUAAUCUCAAGUUACAGAUUUUAAAAGACUUACUUUACUUUAUUUACGUGUGUGUGUGUGUGUGUGUGUGUGUGUGUGUGUGUGCGCGUGCCGGUGCCUGUGGAAUUCAGAUGAGGGCUCUACAUUUUCUGGAGUGGAAGUUGGAGGGGCAUUAGGAGCAGCCUGAAGCAUGUACCAUGCAACAUGUACCAUGCAACAUGUACCACGCAACAUGCAACAUGUAACAUGUAACAUGCAACAUGCAACAUGUAACAUGCAACAUGCAACAUGUGCUACCUUUCUAGUCUCUGUAACAGUUCAUUAAAUGGCUUCUACCUUUUCUACAUCACAAGUACCCAGAAAUAAGCAUCUUUGUGUGACUCCUAAGACCAUGGCUGCUGGUGGACAGUCCUCUUAAUUAUGUUUGGUACACAUUUGCCAAUCUUCCUCUAAGAAGGGAGGUCCCCUUUGUACUAGUAAAGUCUUCUUUUCUUACCUUUUGAUUUUUUUUUUAAUGUCAAACCUUAGGGAGUUAUUUCAUCAAAGA